rnacentral:rRNA from 1 species
GACGAACGCUGGCGGCGUGCCUAACACAUGCAAGUCGAGCGGGAACCUCAGGAGGGGUAACCCCCUUGAGGGGAGAGCGGCGAACGGGUGAGUAACACGUGGGCAACCUGCCCCGGACACCGGGAUAACCCAGGGAAACCUGAGCUAAUACCGGAUACUCCGGCGUGAACGCAUGGUCGCGCCGGGAAAGCUCCGACGGUCCGGGAUGGGGCCGCGGCCUAUCAGCUUGUUGGUGGGGUAACGGCCCACCAAGGCGACGACGGGUAGCUGGUCUGAGAGGACGGCCAGCCACACUGGGACUGAGACACGGCCCAGACUCCUACGGGAGGCAGCAGUGGGGGAUCUUGCGCUAAUGCGCGAAAGCGUGACGCAGCGACGCCGCGUGGGGGAUGAAGGCCCUCGGGUUGUAAACCCCUUUCGGCAGGGACGAAGCGAAAGUGACGGUACCUGCAGAAGAAGUCCCGGCUAACUACGUGCCAGCCGCCGCGGUAAGAC